CAUCCACGUAGGAAAUCCCCAACCAUAGUGGGCUUGGAGCUGUGAGGGAAUUCGGAGUCGCCACCCGUUCUGAAAGUUUGAUUUUCUUCUGGUGAACUAGACAUCCUUUUAAUUACGUUUGAGGUUUUGGGCUUUUAAAUGUAAUAAGGCCGCUUAUUUAUUUUUGAUGGUUUUUAAUAUGUAUUACUAAGAUAGGUAAUACUUAUUUUAACUGUUGAAAUUGGAUAGCUUUAGGGCGCGUUUUCAAAAACAACAGUUGAUUUCAAAAUAACACGACAACAAGCAAAGCUUCCGCAAUGAAAGUAUUUUCCAAAAUUAACCACUUUUCCUAAAAAUGACUUAAUCAAAUCGGU
rnacentral:lncRNA from 1 species